rnacentral:rRNA from 1 species
CGGGACACGUGGUAUCCUGUCUGAAUAUGGGGGGACCAUCCUCCAAGGCUAAAUACUCCUGACUGACCGAUAGUGAACCAGUACCGUGAGGGAAAGGCGAAAAGAACCCCGGCGAGGGGAGUGAAAAAGAACCUGAAACCGUGUACGUACAAGCAGUGGGAGCACGCUUAGGCGUGUGACUGCGUACCUUUUGUAUAAUGGGUCAGCGACUUAUAUUCUGUAGCAAGGUUAACCGAAUAGGGGAGCCGAAGGGAAACCGAGUCUUAACUGGGCGUUAAGUUGCAGGGUAUAGACCCGAAACCCGGUGAUCUAGCCAUGGGCAGGUUGAAGGUUGGGUAACACUAACUGGAGGACCGAACCGACUAAUGUUGAAAAAUUAGCGGAUGACUUGUGGCUGGGGGUGAAAGGCCAAUCAAACCGGGAGAUAGCUGGUUCUCCCCGAAAGCUAUUUAGGUAGCGCCUCGUGAAUUCAUCUCCGGGGGUAGAGCACUGUUUCGGCAAGGGGGUCAUCCCGACUUACCAACCC